rnacentral:rRNA from 1 species
AACGAACGCUGGCGGCGCGUCUUAAGCAUGCAAGUCGAGCGGCAAGUCGUAGCAAUACGGCCUAGAGCGGCGGACUGGUGAGUAACGCGUGGGUGACCUACCCUAAGGUUGGGGAUAGCCAUUAGAAAUAGUGGGUAAUACCGAAUAUGGUUGGAGCGCUAUGGCGCUCUAAAGAAAGGGGCUUCGGCCCCGCCUUGGGAUGGGCCCGCGUCCCAUUAGCUUGUUGGUGAGGUAAGAGCCCACCAAGGCGAUGAUGGGUAGCCGGCCUGAGAGGGUGAACGGCCACACUGGGACUGAGAUACGGCCCAGACUCCUACGGGAGGCAGCAGCUAAGGAUAUUCCGCAAUGGACGAAAGUCUGACGGAGCGACGCCGCGUGGAUGACGAAGGCCGAAAGGUUGUAAAACCCUUUUGUUACUGAAGAAUAAGCGGGGGAGGGAAUGCCCUCGUGAUGACGUUAGGUAACGAAUAAGCCCCG